rnacentral:rRNA from 1 species
AUUGAACGCUGGCGGCAGGCCUAACACAUGCAAGUCGAGCGGAUGAAGGGAGCUUGCUCCUGGAUUCAGCGGCGGACGGGUGAGUAAUGCCUAGGAAUCUGCCUGGUAGUGGGGGAUAACGUCCGGAAACGGGCGCUAAUACCGCAUACGUCCUGAGGGAGAAAGUGGGGGAUCUUCGGACCUCACGCUAUCAGAUGAGCCUAGGUCGGAUUAGCUAGUUGGUGGGGUAAAGGCCUACCAAGGCGACGAUCUGUAACUGGUCUGAGAGGAUGAUCAGUCACACUGGAACUGAGACACGGUCCAGACUCCUACGGGAGGCAGCAGUGGGGAAUAUUGGACAAAGGGCGAAAGCCUGAUCCAGCCAUGCCGCGUGUGUGAAGAAGGUCUUCGGAUUGUAAAGCACUUUAAGUUGGGAGGAAGGGCAGUAAGUUAAUACCUUGCUGUUUUGACGUUACCAACAGAAUAAGCACCGGCUAACUUCGUG